UACGUAGGGUGCAAGCGUUAAUCGGAAUUACUGGGCGUAAAGCGUGCGUAGGCGGCUUGUCGCGUCGACUGUGAAAACCCGAGGCUCAACUUCGGGCUUGCAGUCGAUACGGGCAGGCUAGAGUUCGGUAGGGGAGACUGGAAUUCCUGGUGUAGCGGUGAAAUGCGCAGAUAUCAGGAGGAACACCGAUGGCGAAGGCAGGUCUCUGGGCCGAUACUGACGCUGAGGAGCGAAAGCGUGGGGAGCGAACAGG
rnacentral:rRNA from 1 species